CGUGAUAGCUCAGUUGGUAGAGCAGCCGCCUUGUAAGCGGCAGGUCGUCGGUUCAAGUCCGACUCGC
rnacentral:tRNA from 1 species